rnacentral:SRP_RNA from 1 species
GCCUGGCACGGUGGCACAUGCUUGUAGUCCCAGCUUCAGGAGGCUGAGGUGGGAGGAUCGCUUGAACCCAGGAGUUCUGGGCUGCAGUGCGCUAUGCUGAUCGGGUGUCCACACUAAGUUCGGCAUCAAUAUGGUGACCUCCCGGGAGCGGGAGACCACCAGGUUGCCUAAGGAGGGGUGAACAGGCCCGGGUCGGAAACGGAGCAGGUCAAAACUCCAGUGCUGAUCAGUAGUGGGAUCUCGCCUGUGAAUAGCCACUGCACUCCAGCCUGGGAAACAUAGUGAGACCCCGUCUCU